GACGAACGCUGGCGGCGUGCUUAACACAUGCAAGUCGAACGGAAAGGCCCUGCUUUUGUGGGGUGCUCGAGUGGCGAACGGGUGAGUAACCCGUGAGUAACCUGCCCUUGACUUUGGGAUAACUUCAGGAAACUGGGGCUAAUACCGGAUAGGAGCUCCUGCUGCAUGGUGGGGGUUGGAAAGUUUCGGCGGUUGGGGAUGGACUCGCGGCUUAUCAGCUUGUUGGUGGGGUAGUGGCUUACCAAGGCUUUGACGGGUAGCCGGCCUGAGAGGGUGACCGGCCACAUUGGGACUGAGAUACGGCCCAGACUCCUACGGGAGGCAGCAGUGGGGAAUAUUGCACAAUGGGCGGAAGCCUGAUGCAGCAACGCCGCGUGCGGGAUGACGGCCUUCGGGUGGUAAACCGCUUUCGCCUGUGACGAAGCGUGAGUGACGGUAAUGGGUAAAGAAGCACCGGCUAACUACGUG
rnacentral:rRNA from 1 species